CCCGCCCCCGCCCGGCUAAGCCGUUCCUGGGGGAGGGGGCUGGGCGGCCCGAACUCCUGGGUCCAGCCUCGGGCUGCGGUGCGUGCGACCGUCUCUGUCGCCAUCCACAGGCUCGGCCGCCUCUCCGCUCGGGCUGCCUGGUCUCCUCCCUCCUCCCCGUCCCUCCUCCUCUUCCUCCUCCCCCUCUUCCUCCCCUUCCAGCAUCCCCAUCCCUGCUCCUGCUCCGGGGAGGUGGCUCGAGAGCUCCCGGAGGGGACCUAUUUCUUCUGGCCUGCCCCGGGCUCGGGCGGCGGCCAAGCAGCUAGAGACAGGGCCCCCGGGAGCCGGGUCCGAGCCUCCUCCGGCCCCCUCCCGCGGAGCCGCGCCGAGGGGCGGGCCCAGACCGGAGCCCGCCCCCGCCCCCUCGGCCCGGUGUCGCUGCUGCUCCCGGCCCGCCGCCGCCGCUGCGCUCGGCUCCGGGGCUCCCCGCUCCUCCGCGCCCCAAGCCCGCUCGCUCCGCCAGCCCCCGGGCGCCCCGCAGCCCUGCGCCUCGGCGGCGGGGGGCCGCCCUCCCGCCCGCCAACUUCUCCCGCUGCCCCCCGCCACCCCCGGGCCGCCGUCUGGGCCCCCCCGCCCCUGUCCCCGCCGGAGCGGCUCGGGGACGCCCGCGCGGGCCGGGGCCGGGGAGCCGCCGGUGCGAGGAGCCGCUCGGGGAUCUCGGGGAGAGCGGCCUCGGCAGUUUGGGGGCGGGGCGGGCGCGGAGGGGGCGACGAUGCGCCUCCAGACGUGACGGGGCCGCCGCCGCCGCCGCCGCCGCCGCCGCCGCCGCCGGUGCCACCGCCCGUGCCAGUGCCCGUGCCGCCUGUGCCGCGGGAGGCCAGGCGUGAAGAUGAGGCUCUCUGGGAUUACACGUGGAGAAAGGCGAUCGGGAUCGGCCCCGGGGAGCGCCGGCUGGUGAGACGCGCGGCUCCCCCACCCCCGUGCCCCGGAGAAGCGGCUUCAAUGGCGCCAUCCCCCAAGAGGAGCCGCCGGAAAGAUGCCAACGCCUUGCCGAGCAUGUCCUCAACUUUUUGGGCUUUCAUGAUCCUGGCGAGUCUGCUGAUCGCCUACUGCAACAUCUCUGAGGAAGAAAUCAGAAAACAGUCUGGAGGAGCCCUCACAUACCUGGGGCCUACAUUUGGGAAUCUGGUCAGGAAGGAAGCAUAUCUGUUUGCCAGAAACAUCCAACAGCAAGGGCACCCUGACUUGUCACGAGCAAAACCUGACUUCCUGUGGACCACUGAGAAUUUGGAUUCCACACAGGACCUGAUGUUACACGGGAGGCUUGGUAAUAUUUUAUGGCCUCAGUAA
ensembl:lncRNA